AAUGGGUCAGCGACUUAUAUUCUGUAGCAAGGUUAACCGAAUAGGGGAGCCGAAGGGAAACCGAGUCUUAACUGGGCGUUAAGUUGCAGGGUAUAGACCCGAAACCCGGUGAUCUAGCCAUGGGCAGGUUGAAGGUUGGGUAACACUAACUGGAGGACCGAACCGACUAAUGUUGAAAAAUUAGCGGAUGACUUGUGGCUGGGGGUGAAAGGCCAAUCAAACCGGGAGAUAGCUGGUUCUCCCCGAAAGCUAUUUAGGUAGCGCCUCGUGAAUUCAUCUCCGGGGGUAGAGCACUGUUUCGGCAAGGGGGUCAUCCCGACUUACCAACCCGAUGCAAACUGCGAAUACCGGAGAAUGUUAUCACGGGAGACACACGGCGGGUGCUAACGUCCGUCGUGAAGAGGGAAACAACCCAGACCGCCAGCUAAGGUCCCAAAGUCAUGGUUAAGUGGGAAACGAUGUGGGAAGGCCCAGACAGCCAGGAUGUUGGCUUAGAAGCAGCCAUCAUUUAAAGAAAGCGUAAUAGCUCACUGGUCGAGUCGGCCUGCGCGGAAGAUGUAACGGGGCUAAACCAUGCACCGAAGCUGCGGCAGCGACGCUUAUGCGUUGUUGGGUAGGGGAGCGUUCUGUAAGCCUGUGAAGGUGUGCUGUGAGGCAUGCUGGAGGUAUCAGAAGUGCGAAUGCUGACAUAAGUAACGAUAAAGCGGGUGAAAAGCCCGCUCGCCGGAAGACCAAGGGUUCCUGUCCAACGUUAAUCGGGGCAGGGUGAGUCGACCCCUAAGGCGAGGCCGAAAGGCGUAGUCGAUGGGAAACAGGUUAAUAUUCCUGUACUUGGUGUUACUGCGAAGGGGGGACGGAGAAGGCUAUGUUGGCCGGGCGACGGUUGUCCCGGUUUAAGCGUGUAGGCUGGUUUUCCAGGCAAAUCCGGAAAAUCAAGGCUGAGGCGUGAUGACGAGGCACUACGGUGCUGAAGCAACAAAUGCCCUGCUUCCAGGAAAAGCCUCUAAGCAUCAGGUAACAUCAAAUCGUACCCCAAACCGACACAGGUGGUCAGGUAGAGAAUACCAAGGCGCUUGAGAGAACUCGGGUGAAGGAACUAGGCAAAAUGGUGCCGUAACUUCGGGAGAAGGCA
rnacentral:rRNA from 1 species